UAGGGAAUCUUCCGCAAUGGGCGAAAGCCUGACGGAGCAACGCCGCGUGAGUGAUGAAGGUCUUCGGAUCGUAAAACUCUGUUAUUAGGGAAGAACAAAUGUGUAAGUAACUAUGCACGUCUUGACGGUACCUAAUCAGAAAGCCACGGCUAACUACGUGCCAGCAGCCGCGGUAAUACGUAGGUGGCAAGCGUUAUCCGGAAUUAUUGGGCGUAAAGCGCGCGUAGGCGGUUUUUUAAGUCUGAUGUGAAAGCCCACGGCUCAACCGUGGAGGGUCAUUGGAAACUGGAAAACUUGAGUGCAGAGGAGGAAGGUGGAAUUCCAUGUGUAGCGGUGAAAUGCGCAGAGAUAUGGAGGAACACCAGUGGCGAAGGCGACUUGCUGGUCUGUAACUGACGCUGAUGUGCGAAAGCGUGGGGAUCAAACAGG
rnacentral:rRNA from 1 species